rnacentral:tRNA from 1 species
GCGGUCGUGGCGGAAUUGGCAGACGCGCACGGUUCAGGUCCGUGUGGUAGUAAUACUGUGGAGGUUCGAGUCCUCUCGACCGCA